rnacentral:rRNA from 1 species
UACUCCUACGGGAGGCAGCAGUGGGGAAUUUUGGACAAUGGGCGAAAGCCUGAUCCAGCCAUGCCGCGUGCAGGAUGAAGGCCUUCGGGUUGUAAACUGCUUUUGUACGGAACGAAACGGCCUUUUCUAAUAAAGAGGGCUAAUGACGGUACCGUAAGAAUAAGCACCGGCUAACUACGUGCCAGCAGCCGCGGUAAUACGUAGGGUGCAAGCGUUAAUCGGAAUUACUGGGCGUAAAGCGUGCGCAGGCGGUUAUGUAAGACAGUUGUGAAAUCCCCGGGCUCAACCUGGGAACUGCAUCUGUGACUGCAUAGCUAGAGUACGGUAGAGGGGGAUGGAAUUCCGCGUGUAGCAGUGAAAUGCGUAGAUAUGCGGAGGAACACCGAUGGCGAAGGCAAUCCCCUGGACCUGUACUGACGCUCAUGCACGAAAGCGUGGGGAGCAAACAGGAUUAGAUACCCUGGUAGUCCACGCCCUAAACGAUGUCAACUGGUUGUUGGGUCUUCACUGACUCAGUAACGAAGCUAACGCGUGAAGUUGACCGCCUGGGGAGUACGGCCGCAAGGUUGAAACUCACAGGAAUUGACGGGGACCCCCACAAGCGGUGGAGCAUGUGGA